CUCUGGAACUGAAACACGGUCCAGACACCUACGGGUGGCAGCAGUAGGGAAUAUUGCCCUAUGGACGAAAGUCUGAGGCAGCAACGCCGCGUGUGCGAUGAAGGCCUUCGGGUUGUAAAGCACUUUUACGUGGGAAGAGGAAGGACGGUACCACGUGAAUAAGGAUCGGCUAACUACGUGCCAGCAGCCGCGGUAACACGUAGGAUUCGAACGUUAUCCGGAUUUACUGGGCGUAAAGCGCGUGCAGGCGGUUUGGUAAGUUGGAUGUGAAAUCUUCAGGCUCAACCUGGAGAGGUCGUUCAAUACUGCCAGACUAGAGGACGGUAGAGGGAGGUGGAAUUCCGGGUGUAGUGGUGAAAUGCGUAGAUAUCCGGAGGAACACCAGUGGUGAAGGCGGCCUCCUGGGCCGUUCCUGACGCUAAGACGCGAAAGCUAGGGUAGCGAACGGGAUUAGACACCCCGGUAGUCCUAGCUGUAAACGAUGUGAACUUGGUGUUGGUGGCGUAAAAACCAUCAGUGCCGCAGCUAACGCGAUAAGUUCACCGCCUGGGGACUACGGCCGCAAGGCUAAAACUCAAAGGAAUUGACGGGGCCCCGCACAAGCAGCGGAGCGUGUGGUUUAAUUCGAUUCUACGCGAAGAACCUUACCUGGGUUUGACAUAUAAGUGGUAGUGAACUGAAAAGGGAACGACCCUUCGGGGAGCUUAUACAGGUGCUGCAUGGCUGUCGUCAGCUCGUGCCGUGAGGUGUCCGGUUAAGUCCGGUAACGAGCGCAACCCUCGCUGUAUGUUAUACGUGUCAUACGGGACUGCCGGUAUAAAGCCGGAGGAAGGUGGGGAUGACGUCAAGUCAGCAUGGCCUUUAUAUCCAGGGCUACACACACGCUACAAUGGUCGGUACAAUAGGUCGCAAAACCGCGAGGUGGAGCCAAUCCUCAAAGCCGGCCUCAGUUCGGAUUGUAGGCUGCAACUCGCCUGCAUGAAGUUGGAGUUGCUAGUAAACGCGCGUCAGCAACAGUGCGUUGAAUACGUUCCCGGGGCUUGUACACACCGCCCGUCACGUCAUGGAAGCUGGAAACGCCCGAAGUCAGUAUCCUAACCGCAAGGAUGGAGCUGCCUAAGGUGGGGCUGGUGACUGGGACGAAGUCGUAACAAGGUAGGUGUACCGGAAGGUGCGCCUGG
rnacentral:rRNA from 1 species